rnacentral:lncRNA from 1 species
AGGCCAUUAUGACAACAAUGCCUCUGUUUCCUCCAGAUUCUUGGCUGUCACUAUCCUGACCUACCACCUGUGUCACAUCCCAUUAGGUUCUGUGGAUGAGGCAUGGUGCUUGGCACAGACUGACACAAGUUUGGGCAAACUUGGCAGAGCAGCCUAACCCAAAGCGAAAAACAGAAAUGAACCAAGAUACAACCUCUGUGGAAAACCCUACUGAACAAAAGCAACUCUGUGGAGUGUCCUCUCAGCUGCAAAUUGAGACAGAAUUGUGGGGCAAGCUUGGCCACUGAUGCAGUUUUGUCAUUUCAAGAACAUUGUAUAUAUGGAGUUAUAUAUGGACUCACACAGAUUCUGCAGCUUGCUACACAGAAAGCCAGAGACCGAGAGCCAAUGACUGAGACUAUGAGUAUUGCCAAGGAAGAAGGCUUUAAUCGGGUGCUGCAGCUGAAAAGAUGAGAGCUCAGCCUCAAAUCCAUCUCCCUGACCAACUAAAGCUAAGGAUUUAUAUAGCAGGGAAGAAGACAGGAACUAGGAAGGGGCAAGGAAGCGAUCCUGAUGAAUGAAGGGUCAGGCAUUUCAUUGUCUGGAUGUGGCGAUCUGCUCACACUGGUCACACCUGGGACUUCCAACAUGAAUGCUUUUGUCACGGAUGCUGCGCUGCUGCUGUUUCUGGUUCUUACUCUGCUUACACCAAGGAGACUGAUGUCCCUGCUAUAACCCCACUUCCGAUGCAGACAGCAAUUCCAAUGCAUUGCAGCUUUCAGGAUUUUCUCACUGUGUUUUUGCCUCUCCUUUUCUUUAAGACAUGAGCAUUUGUCUACGGGGAUGGCCUGAAGUGUAGUCUCCAUUACCCAGAGUCAUCUCACUCUCUGACCUUGACUCAUGAUCUGAGAACAAGUGCUCCCCUGCUUGUCUUCCUGAGGGGCAUCUGUCCCUCUUGCAAACAGAUUUCCUUUGGGCUCUGUCAUUUAGAAAUGCCCUUAUUUAUCUGAAUUAUAGUUCCAGUUCAGAACAUUUACAAAGGAACAGAUUGCUCCCAAUUUUAAAGCAGGUAAAUUCUAAAAGUUGGCAAGCCAGUCAUUUAGAAUUUGAGCCUCAUAUUCCAUAGGUAUGAAAUUAUACAUAAUGAAAAAGUUCCCAGGGCAGCCCACAAAAAGCCUACUUAUCCAAAAUAAAGCUAACCUGAGUUAAUUCA